rnacentral:rRNA from 1 species
CCUACGGGUGGCAGCAGUGAGGAAUAUUGGUCAAUGGACGAGAGUCUGAACCAGCCAAGUAGCAUGAAGGAUGACUGCCCUAUGGGUUGUAAACUUCUUUUAUAUGGGAAUAAAAUGUUCCACGUGUGGGAUUUUGUAUGUACCAUAUGAAUAAGGAUCGGCUAACUCCGUGCCAGCAGCCGCGGUAAUACGGAGGAUCCGAGCGUUAUCCGUAUUUAUUGGGUUUAAAGGGAGCGUAGGUGGAUUGUUAAGUCAGUUGUGAAAGUUUGCGGCUCAACCGUAAAAUUGCAGUUGAAACUGGCAGUCUUGAGUACAGUAGAGGUGGGCGGAAUUCGUGGUGUAGCGGUGAAAUGCUUAGAUAUCACGAAGAACUCCGAUUGCGAAGGCAGUUCACUGGACUGCAACUGACACUGAGGCUCGAAAGUGUGGGUAUCAAACAGGAUUAGAUACCCCUGUAGUC